CUUAGAAAUAUCAUUGAGUGCAGCGUUGAUGAAAAUGUCGAAUUUCUGCAGAUACUGAUGCUGCAUUAUUAUUCAUUUCAGACAGUUUUCAUCUACGCUGCACUCAAUCAUGUUUCAG
rfam:Nicotiana sylvestris Nsyl_contig122873, whole genome shotgun sequence.